rnacentral:misc_RNA from 1 species
CCCAAACCCACUGUGAACCUUACCUCAGUUGCCUCGGCGGGAACGCCCCGGCCGCCUGCCCCCGCGCCGGCGCCGGACCCAGGCGCCCGCCGCAGGGACCCCAAACUCUCUUGCAUUACGCCCAGCGGGCGGAAUUUCUUCUCUGAGUUGCACAAGCAAAAACAAAUGAAUCAAAACUUUCAACAACGGAUCUCUUGGUUCUGGCAUCGAUGAAGAACGCAGCGAAAUGCGAUAAGUAAUGUGAAUUGCAGAAUUCAGUGAAUCAUCGAAUCUUUGAACGCACAUUGCGCCCGCCAGCAUUCUGGCGGGCAUGCCUGUUCGAGCGUCAUUUCAACCCUCGAGCCCCCCCGGGGGCCUCGGUGUUGGGGGA